UAGAGUUUUGAUCAUGGGCUCAGGACGAACGCUGGCGGCGUGCCUAAUACAUGCAAGUCGAGCGGAUCUUCAUUAGCUUGCUUUUGAAGAUCAGCGGCGGACGGGUGAGUAACACGUGGGCAACCUGCCUGUAAGACUGGGAUAACUUCGGGAAACCGGAGCUAAUACCGGAUAAUCCUUUCCCUCACAUGAGGGAAAGCUGAAAGACGGCAUCUCGCUGUCACUUACAGAUGGGCCCGCGGCGCAUUAGCUAGUUGGUGAGGUAACGGCUCACCAAGGCAACGAUGCGUAGCCGACCUGAGAGGGUGAUCGGCCACACUGGGACUGAGACACGGCCCAGACUCCUACGGGAGGCAGCAGUAGGGAAUCUUCCGCAAUGGACGAAAGUCUGACGGAGCAACGCCGCGUGAACGAUGAAGGCUUUCGGGUCGUAAAGUUCUGUUGUCAGGGAAGAACAAGUCCCGGAGUAACUGCCGGUACCUUGACGGUACCUGACCAGAAAGCCACGGGUAACUACGUGCCAGCAGCC
rnacentral:rRNA from 1 species